AGCCCGUGUUGUAAUUAAGAAUCUAGAAGGCCUAUUGAAAUGAAAGCACAAUGGGCAGAUUUGGAUUCUGCUGCAUGGAACCAGCAUACUUAACACAGAUAGUCCUCUAUUACAAGUAUUUGUAACAUGAAAACAAAACAUCACACUCUAGAGGAAUAAUGGAGACACGUUAGCCUCUGCAAGAACUCCACACCACAAAUUUUUGGCUCUUGGCACUUCUGAAAUACUCAUUUUGGGAAUAUUGUUUAAGGCAAGACCCUGCAUUUUAUGCAAUGUCUUUGUAAAAACCAAGGGCAAGAACAACCUGGAGAGAAAUUUUCAAAUUUUGGACCAGAGCCACCAAAUCAAUAAUGGCAGAACAAAAUGAAUUAUCAACCUCCACUGCUUCAAUCACAGGGAAAGGCAAGGAGUUAGCCAAAAGAGAAACUGCAGUCAAUGUUAAGAAACAGAAUGAAUUGACUUUGAGUUUCCACAAGGGUAGGGAUGGCAUCCUUGCUCCAUUGUAUCCCUAGCCCCCAGCAAAGUACCUGGUUCACCAGAACUGCUCAUGAAGGAGUAAAUGAAUAAUUUACAUCCAUUCAACAUAUCAUCAUGACCAUAAUUCACUCCUUGAGUGCAGAAGCUAUAUUUUAUUAUUGUUAUUAAUAUUUGGAACCCAGCACAAAGUGGAUCCUCAUCAUGCACUUAUUGGAAGAAUAUUAGGUGCAGAUAUUAGAGACUGUGGGUCAGAAGCAGAGCAUCCCACCUCACAUAACAGUGAACUCCCCAUCUCUGAAAUCAUCUAAGGAGAAGACAUAUGGAAUGCAUCAGGAAUGGUCCAGAAGUAAUUCAGUCAAUGAACUUGAUGAUCAUUCAUUUCCUUUCCUACCCUCACGUGCUAUGGUGCAACUAGAAAAGACUAGAAAGAGGAUGGAUGUAAGGAAAAGAGAGCUGCAGAAAUGAAUGAAAUUGCAACACCCUCAGAAAGGAGAGUGUCAUGGCAAAUAGAAAGAGUAGGGUUUUUGCCAAGGUUUUCUUAAUUGCUGGCAGGUAGCAGACUUGAGAGGCUCUGUACAAUAUAGGUGUGAAGGCUGAAAGACAGAUGUCAAAGAUAAUAGCUUUAACCAGCUGUCUGAUGGCUACUCCUUCCUCCUUAGCCUGGCCCUUAUUUCUAGAUUUAGAUACAGCUCAAAAGAGAUUCAGACUUUGACGAGCCAGGCAGAAAAUUGUGCUAGUCACAUGGAAUCAUUUUGACUGUUUUCUCAGCUGUUUCCUAAGAAAACAGACUUAACAUUUGUCACCCUCAUUCCUGAAUAAGGAAAGUGAUUCCACUUUCUCCUAAAGCAAAAGACACAGGAUAGAGUUGGCAUUUGUUGAGUGAAGAGUAGGGUUCAGAUUAAUGGCGUGUUGAGGGUUUGUUUUUACAAUCUUUCUAUAUUUUCACAUUCAAUAAACUAAAUGAAUUGUCCACACCUCCCUUGGGGCUUCCUAAUAGAAUAAUCCCACCAGGAAACUUUUCUCUUCCAGGCCCCUCACCAUUUCUCUUUCCAAUCUCCCAGUCUCAUGUCCUUGGCCAUAAUUAAUCUAUUCCUCAAAUAUAAGAAUGACCAGGGGUAGAAGUACAGGGAAAGAAAAGAAGGACAAAAGCAGAAUUGAGCAACACAUGAUUACAGGGGUGCACAGAACUGCCUUUUAUUUCUCUACAUGUUUAAGUUGACAAUUAUAAUAUUUCAUAUAUUAGAUCUUAUGGUCGGAUUGUCAAUUUUUGAGCAUGUAUCAUGUGACAUAUCCUUUGGACAUAUUAGUUCACUGGUGUUCAGUUACCUUUUAAGUUAUGUAUUAGCCUUCUUAAUAGGUGAAGAGGUUAAGGCUUAGAAAGGCUAACUACCUUGCCCAAAGUCACACAGACAAUAAGUGUUGGAGCCAGGAUUCAAACCCAUGUUCUCUGCCUCCCAAUCCAUAUCUAAUAACCACAUGUGUACAGUCUCAAGGAGAGUCACAGAGAUUUUUCAUUAACAAAGACCCAGCAAGCUGUCACACUAAAUCAAGCAGGGACAACAUGGCUUCCCAGAGCACAUUUGAGAACGUCUACAGGCAUCUUUGGUUAUCAUAAAUGGAUAGGUGCUACCAGCAUCUAGUGAAUAGAGGAUGCCCCAAACAUCCUACAAUUCACAGACAGCCCCCACAACAAAGAACUAUCAGGUCCAAAACAUUAAUAGAACCGUAGUCAAGAAACACUGCACUAAAUUAUCUCAGCAUUAUGUAAAACGGGUUCUCUGCUGCCAACUUGUGACCUUCUAUAUUGAAAAGGGGAACAGCUCAUAACUCCUUGAUAUACAGUUUCAUGCUAACAGUGUAUAGAAUUGGCCGAUGUUCUUUUUAAGAAUGGAGAAAAAAAGAAGGAUGGAGAAAGAACAGGCGAGGAAGAAGAAAAAGAAAAAAAAGAGAAAGAGAGAAGGAGAAAACUAACAUUAGAAACUGACAAUCUGCAGUGUUCAACAGCUGGAUCGCAUUACAUGGAAAUCAGUCCCAGUGACAGCACAACAGGCUGCUUUUGUGUCUUCAUGAAUAACGCAAUGUGCUGGGUAAAUGCUUUUCCCCAUUUAGAAACAGGUAGUUAAUGGGAAUUGAAGUGAUCAAAUACUGUGUACCCCAAGGUUACUUACAUCAUGGGCCUGGGUGGCCCCAAGCUCAUAAAUAAAGCAUUGGAGCAUCUUAUUUUAGGCCUGGUCAGAUAAGCAAGUGCUUGCAUCAUGUGAACAGAGCCCACAGCGCAAUAUGACACUGAGCCUGGCAAUUCCAGGACCUCUCAGAAUGUGACAUUUCAAGCACAGUACACUGAGUUCACACCCUGUGGAAGCUUCAAGGCCCACCAUGCCUCAAUUUUCCAUCAUCUUUUUGAUUAAGCUGCUGUGAGAGAAGGCUGUCACUGAGCCGGACUUUAAAUGAUGCCAAGUUCAUUCCCUACUAUGCAGAAGUUAAUUUGAGGCACAUUUGCAACUUAUAACUCUGAUUUACUCAUUUGCUGGUACGAGGGCCACACACAGCUUGACAACCUGCCAGCUUGCAUAGACUAUUCUCUCAGAAAAGGUUUGGACCAAGUCAAGACCCAGCUUGGCAGCUCAAAAUACAGCUGCUAGACAAUGGCAGAAUGUGGAGUUGAAUAUAAGAAAAGAAAAAUAUCUCCUCUUUGCCUCAAAUUUUUACAUAUAAUUUUGUAAUCAUAUCCCUAUUCAGAUACUUUGACAUAAAUAGUGCUUAAUUA